UGGCAGGGCCAAAUUGAACUUGUAGUUUUUACUGUAUUGCUUUUAGUGUUUAGGUAUAGGUGUAGCUCCCCUGAAUAAAUCACCCCUUUUUAUUAGAUGUCCCCUACCCUUUCAUAGAGUGUGUACCCCUGAUUAACUUUUCCCUCUUCCCCAGUAACAUGACCCCUUAGAACAAUAGCCCCUUUGAUAAGACCCAUGUGCUCUGCCACCCUGUAAGUCCACAGCCCCUCACUUAGAAGACCAGCGGCAGUAGAGAGAGGACUGUGUAUUAUAUAUCCACUCUUCCCCUUUUCUUGGGAGCGCCUGCCCUGUGUGUUUAUCUGCUCAAGUCACCUGGUUUCAGUCAGAGUGCAUUUAAGGUCCAUUAUUUUGACGCUCUAUGUUGGUUAUAGUUUAGUUAUAGGUUUUAGGUUUUGCUCUUUUCGUUUAAGUUUCUGGUCAACAGUUUUUCAUAGUUAAGUUUGGUCUCAAGUUUGUUUCAUUUUAAAAUCCUUUUCUUAAUAAAAUAGUUCGCGACUUGUUCUUA